AUGGAGGCCCAGGAAGGCGACUUGUCAAACCUUGAUUCUGCAGAUGCUCUCUUGGAGAAUGUGCUGGUUUCUUCCCCUGUCCUGAGUCUGCCACCUGGUGUCCAGUGUGAGGUGCAGCUGGUGGAGUCUGGGGGAGGCCUGGUCCAGCCUGGGGGGUCCCUGAGACUCUCCUGUGCAGUGUCUGGAUUCACUGUGAGCAACUACUACAUGAGCUGGGUCCGACAGGCUCCAGGGAAGGGGCUGGAGUGGGUCUCGUACAUUUAUAGUGAUGAUGGUGACACAAACUACGCAGACGCCGUGAAGGGCCGGUUCACCACCUCCACAGACAACGGGAAGAACAUGCUGUAUCUGCAAAUGAAUAGUCUGAGAACUGAGGACACGGCCGUGUACUACUGUGCGAGAGACACAGUGAGGGGACAUCAGUGUGAGCCCAGACACAAACCUCCUACGGGGGCACGUGGGGCCACCAGGGGGCAGACAGGACACAAGAAGCAGAGCCAGCCCAGGGCAGGAGCAGGUGGAGGUUAA